rnacentral:lncRNA from 1 species
CAAAAUUGCUCCGGUAACCAUCCAUGGAUAGAAAACCAGUCUGCGUACACUGAUGCUGGAGACUGUCAUCCGAUGCUGCUUUCAUACAUUUCAACAACUUAUUGGACUGGCUGGGUGAAAUUCAUGCAAAACUGGCGGAUAUUCAAAUAAAUCAGAAGAGAUUCAUGCAAACACGAUGGAUUUCAUAUAAACAUGACCAAAUUCAUUACAUUUCGGGUAUACUUCAACUAAAAACGGAACUCAUCGGGUCUUCAGGUAUAAUUCCUAAUUUAAAUAAUCGGCACUGCCCAUUCCACACCGGACUGCCAUGUGCCUCGAGAAUUGAAGCUCCGGCACUCGCCUUUUCCUUCUCCAGCUCUGUCUCCGCAGCCUCCGCAAUCGCGACUUGAGUGGCUAAUCCAUCAACGAUUAUAAGCCCGCCAAGCUUGGCUUCAGGCGGAAAGGAAGAGCAGUGACCCUCCUAGGACCUGAGCGACGGGGACCUACCGUGCACUAGUCUUGCUCCCUGCCGUCGGUGCUCGUGGACGUGCCGACUUCGUGGUCUUGGCGGCGGUCUUCGCGAAACGGUAUGGAUUAUGUAGCUCUGCUGCAAAGACUGAUUGGACGAUAAAUAAGCCUCAGUCUGUCUUUCGAUGUAGUCUGACGCUUUCAUUUCGAUCGAAAUGUUGAACUGUUGUGAUCAGGCGGGGAUGUCGUCAAAUCAUCAGUGCAUAUCGAUCGUUGAGCCAGCACUGAUUUCCUCAAGCGUCUCUGACAUGAAAGAUUUAAACCAGGCCCUUUCAAGACGGUGCCGCGCAUAGUGCUUGUCCACGAGUAGUCAAGUGAGUUAAGCCGAGCAAGAAGACGGGAAACAACAGCUAAACUAGCUGCUAGACCACCUCAGUGACUUGUGUGGUACUAGUGCAGUCACUUAACUUGCUCAGAAUUGACCGAAUUUGAUUUGAUUUGACUCGAUUUACAGCUACUAUUGUGCCAUAUAUCAGUGCUUGUGAGACAAGCUGGCAUGCGUGUUCACCAAAAGAAAAGGAAGAUCAGAAUACAUAUGAUGGGCUAAAGUGAUAGUAAUUGUUUGUAAAUUGAGACGUGUAGCUUCGUCAGUACCUCGAGUGGAGGCAUAUAUAUUAUUGCAUAAAGUUAAUUGGUCACGCUCCAAAUGAAUAAUAUAUAAGCUCCACUCCACUCGAGGUACUGACGAAGCUACAAGCGCACCUAGCGAGCGUUGCAUCGUCUUGUCGGGGUUUUGCACAAGCGCACCUAGCGAGCGUUUAGUAAUAGACCGGCCCAUUUAUAGUUCCAACACCUUCGGUUUUGGGAACC